GUUUCCGUGGCGCAAUUGGUUAGCGCGUUCGACUGUUACUAUCAUUCGGUCAUCGAGAGGUUGUGAGUUCGAUCCUCACCGGGAACG
rfam:TPA: Aspergillus nidulans FGSC A4 chromosome II